UUCCAUGGAGGAAAGAGCAGCUGUGAGCCAUGAACAGCCAGGACUCACCACCGCAGAGUGGUGGGAGCCCUGGCCUGGUGAAGGGACCUGGGCGGGACUUCAGGAUCCUGCUCUCUGCAGGUCAGCCACUGGAAUACAAGAAUUCUCUCCAUACCACAAUUUACCUGCAAUUUGUUAGGAUGGGACAGUCCACACAAAGAAAUGCACUCAGACAUGGCUCCGAAAGACUCACCUCCGUGGCCCAGGGCAGAUGAUUCUAGAGGAUGGCUCUCUGUCCGCACUUAGAAAACAUGCACAGCCCCUCAAAGAGUGCAGCGCCAGCAGCGGCUGCCACCUCUGAAUGUCUGCCUGGCCAUCUGGUGCUUCCAGGAUGUGUGGAUGCCCUCUGACAUCUUCCAGCCCUGUCCCCACGCCUAGUGGUAGCUGCUGGCCCCUGCCUCCUGGUGCUUUGGUUACUACUUCCUAUUGCAGAUGUGCAGACCCAGCAGACUUAGCAGGAGUAUGGGGAGGGCAAGGCUGGUGACCUAAAGGAAGUUUUUGUAUCUACGAAGUCUCAUUUCACCCUGAAAACUGACCCCUCCUCCAUAGACCUGGUCUUUGGAACAAGUGGAAUCUCUCUUUGAGGGCUAUUUUAAUCCUAAAUGGAGAGAAAUAGGUAUAAAAACAACAAAGUUCACAAAAUGGGGAAAAAAAUUAAUCUCUGGUUAUUGCAGCCAGACCAGCAGUGGUGGGGGGAUGGGUGGGUAAAGGGGAUCCAGGAAGCAGAGAUGAGCUUUGACACAGUAGCCUUGCUUUCCAAUGUGUUAAUUGCUGAGCACAUUAAGUGCUUGCGGAGAGAAAGGAGAGUCGCUACAUCGUAAUGCAUCCAUGGCAACUCAGUGUCAAGAUGUCUUUCCGUGACCCUUGUGGCACUUUGUGUUAAGAAAGCCCCAUUCCAGCUUCUCCGUCAAAAACACUGCUGUUCUGGAGGAUCUUACUCUCAGCAAUAUAAGGAGCUAUUGUUCCACUUCUUGGAAAUAAGAUGGUGGUGGGAACAAGAGCUGUUAUUGCAGGCUCAUCAGAGUUUAUUAUUUCCAUCAAAGAGAUAAAGCAAGGGAGUCCUCAGGCAGGCUUAGCUGAAAUAUUACAGGGGCUAAGAGGUGAACUUGAAAAACCUUUCAUUUUAAGCUUGCAGCUGCUGUGUGCACUGAAAAUACAACAAGGAAGAACUCACCCAAGAACAACCACCAUGAAAUUGAGCAACGUUUAUUAAUCUUUGCUUCUGUCUCUCGGAUGGUUCGAUAGCAAGCAGCCAUAAGCUCAUUUAGGGGAAAAGCCUCAUAAGUUAAUGACUCCUCCUUCCCCAACUGCCCCAAACAAACAAAAACAGAGGGAAAAUCUAGGGUAUUCAUAUGCUGAUGAAGAGGAAACCAUCUUCAAGCACACACUCAUAACUCUUUAAAUUUUGGUCCUUCUCAGAGUCCUGUGACGCUGAUUUGGGCUACUAAAGCCAUGCGAUUCAUUUGAUAACUGUGACCCAGUGAAUGUCUAUGUCAGCAGCUGACCAAGGGGAAAACAGACAGGAAACUACCUAAACUUCAUUAUUUCUCAUGUGAUGCCCAGUUGUCAGCAAAGAGAGUAACUAUAGUUUGCGGAUACAGGAAAUUACAUGGUAAGAUGAUAAGAAAAGUGUCCGUUGGCUAGCACACUGAGAAGCUGACUUUGUGUUUGAAGUUGUUUAUUACUGAUAUCAGGGACUUCUCUGGCUGGCCCUGGAUAUCUCGCCUUUCCUUCAGAGAUGAAUCCCAGCAUGCAGUGAAAAUAGGAUUACACUUGCAACUCAACAGUAGUGACCUGUUAUGAAAUAAGAGCACAUAGGUUCUUUGGUGGGUCAUUUUCAGUUUACUACCACUAGUUAACCUGUUGGAACAAAAGAAAUCCGUUUUGUUAGAAGUGACAUCUUGAAAGCAAUACUGACUUUGAACACUUACAUUUAUUUAGCCUCCCAGAGCUUAUCUCAAAGAACUACGAACUCUUCAAACAAAUUUGGUUAAGGGUAAAAGCCAUUGCAGAUAGAUGCCUGUUAACAUCCUUAGAGUCAAAAGUUUAUAGAUCCCCUCAGAAGUCUGGGUAAAAGACAGGGAGGCAAAAGCACAAAACCACAUUUUGGGUGGUCCUGGCAGAUUGCAAGCUGGAGAUAAAUUUUCAGCAACUCAGAAUGGUAGAGAGACUGAUAAAAUGAUUGUUCCAACAAUAGUUAUCUCUUGAGAAUAAGAGGAGGCAAGAAGUGAAAGAACAAGUCAAUAUUCAUCAUAAUACCCUUUAUGGGUAUAUCAGUUUGGGACUCAUGGGUUGUUUUUGUUUUUGUUAUUCUUUUUUUUACUAAAGACAAUUGUUUUUAUUUUUUUAAGUGAGCAUAGAAAUAUAAACACAAUAUAAUACAAAGCAUGCUCUAUGUGGAAAGAUGAAUGCCGGUAGAGAUGAUUUAAAAAGGGAGGCUAAAAAAUUACCCUCAGAGCAACUCUUGGAUAUCUGAAGCAAUCAUAGAAAGAAGAUACAAAGUGGAUCUUCUCUGUGUUUGCAAAAGACAAGCACAUGAGAAAUUACAGAAGUAGACUCUGGCUAGAAAUUGCUGCCGAUCCUCUCUAAUUUUAGCACAGGGAUGGGCCAUCACGGAAAAGUUUGGGAUCCCAGAGAUCUUUAGAAAGUGCUAGAGAGACAGCAAACCAGGAGAGAAAACCAUCGGAACCAUCCACCUUCAGUUCUGUUAAACACGAGAAAGGAACAAGAAUUCUUGUGCCACCUUCAUGGUCGUUGCUCCAGGUGUGGAAUCUCUCCAUCGGCCUAUCUUGGGCUCCUUCUCUUCCUCCCAAAGUUGGGUGUGCGUAGUUUACAAAGGACUGAAAUAGUUAAGGCAUUUUUGCAAUCGCAGAGGAGUGUCCAUCUUCACCGCACAAAUGAAAAUCAUCACCAUUCCAACAAAUCCAAUAUAACCAAGGAAAAUAACAAUACCAACAAAUGAAGCCAGCGUGAAGCCACUCAGCGCUGUGGUGCUGCAUUAAUCAUGUUGCUCUUGGAGAAUUUAAAGCUUUUAAUCAUGUAGGCCUGCAGUCUUUGGUUAAAACUCAUGGGCACUUUAUGGGUUUAUUUUGGGCCCCAGGGCCCCUGUAUUGUUCACUAAGUACAAUGAAAACCUGUUAAGGAUAAAGAAUAAAAAUUAAUGUCAAAGCGAAUAAAGGAACUGAAAAGGUCAAACCUCGUUCCUAGGGCCAAGGAAGAUGCCUGCCCAUGGAAAAGACCAUGGAAAUCCAAAUUAAAUAGCACGUUUCUGCCCAUAAAUUUGUGGAAGUAGCAAAAUUGCUGCAAAUGGCUUUCCAGCGGUUCUGCAUUUCAAACACAUAACAUGCAUAAGAACAUAUUAUGGAUAUACGUAAAUAUAUGUAUAAGCAAGAGAUAAAUUUCUCUUUUGUUCUUGUAAUCUGAAUACUUGAGUUAUCUAUUUAAUUAUCUGGCCUGAAGAAGAAAGGGAACACUCCCUCUCAGAAUAGCCCAUGUCAACCCUGGACAUACAUAUAUAAAGAGCAUGUAAGCUGGAGUUAUUGAAUGUGUUCCCCAAAUUUCUAAGCGCCUUUUCAUUUCUAUCUGCAGGAGAUACAUUAUCUUUAUGGAUGGGUGAGGUAUAUAUAUAUAUAUAUAUAUAUAUGCCAUCCUGAGUGGCUUCACGUUGGCUUCAUUUAUUGGUAUUGUUAUAUAUAUAUAAACCUACCAGCAGACAUUAAAAUUUUGGUAUCUAAUGAGCACCCAUUUUGUAGUAGAAAAUAAAAUACUGAUAUAACCCAAAAAUAUUAUUCUAUUUAUAUUUAAUUCUGUUUAUAUUUAAUCCCAACUUCAAUGCAUCACAAAUUCAUUUUAAAAGCAGGGUGAUGCUCUCAUUUCACACGUCAUUUAACAAUAAACACUAGGAUUUAGGGUGGUUCGGGAAGUGGAGUGGGACACACCAACAUCUUGCAAAUUAUAAAUAAAUAUUAAGAUCCACAAAUAGCUCAUUUGGUAGAAAAAGGUCAUAAAAUUUGAAGAGAAAAAAAUAACUGUUCUGCAGAUCUGCUUGUGCAGGUUUACCCCAUACAAUCACGAGUAAUCAGUGAAGCCAGGGUCUGUGAAACCCAGAAGAGGAUUUUGCCCUGCCUCCCGGGGCCAAGGGGUGUUCAGGAUCAGGGUGUUUCUCAGUAGGCUCCCUCCUGCUCCCCACUUGCACCGAGGAGAAAAUCCUUCCAUUGGCUCUGUGGCCACCCUGGCUAGGUUUUCAGGUAUCUUUGCUUUCCCUUCUCCCAUAGUCCUUACCUGGGUUACCAAAUCUGCUCAUCAACCUGACAGCACAAAUGGGUCCCUCAGAGCUUUUACCUUUACCUCUUCCAGGAGAGAAGUCCCAGCCAAGCACCAAGGAUGAUGCAUGUGCAUCUGUAGAUUCCACUGGUCAGAUCAGGUCUGGGUCAAAGGGCCUGCGUUGGCUCCACGUGUCCCUGGGGUGGGGGAGGAGAGAUGAGUCAGGGGAGGACCAUUCAGUGGUCAAUGUUCAGCACAACUCCAGGCAGACAAACACUGGUGGCAGCUCUGCCUUCACCUUGCAUGUGACCUCCAGACUCUUCCCCCGUCUGUCCCUUGAGCAUCAUAAAAGAAACUAAGAUGGAUCUCAAGUGAAAAUGGGAGUGACAGAUGAGGAGGAAAGGAAAGCCUCCAAAUGACUUUCUAGAGAAAAAGCCAAAUCUAGCCAGAGAAAACUCUACUUUGAAAAGAGACAUGCACCUCAAUGUUUACUGCAGCACUAUUUACAGUAGCCAAGACAUGGAAGCCAACCUAAACCACUCUGUCCAUCAGCAGAGGAAUGGGUAAACAAGAUGUGGUCCAUAUACACAGUGGCAUAUUACUCAGUCAUAAAAAGAAUGAAAUAAUGCCUUUUGCAGCGAUGUGGAUGGACCUAGUGAUUAUCAUACUGAGUGAAGUAAGUCAGACACAGAGAAAGACAAAUAUCGUAUGAUAUCAUUUCUGUGUGGACUCUAAUAAAAACUUCUUCAGAUGCCAAAGAACUUAAUUUACAAAACAGAAACAAACACAGAUUUCAAAGCCAAUCUUAUGGUUACCAUAGGUGAAUCCAUUGCGGGGAGGGAAGAAUUGGGAGUGUAGGGAUAAGACAUACACACCACCAUAUAAAUCGAUGAUUAAGGAGAACCUCCUGUAUAGGCUGGGAAAAUCUACUCAAUAGUUUGUAAUAACAUACACCGGAAAAAAGAAUGCAUGACUGAUUCGCUUUACUAUACACCUGAAACUAAUACAAUGUUGUAAGUCAAGUGUGUUGCAAUAAAAUAAAAGAAACAUCCAGGGUUCCCGGUUGUCAGGGAAGGUUUUGUGCCAGCAAGAAAGAGUCUAAUUCAAUCUAUAGCCUAUUCGAGGGGUUUUUUUAUUUGGCUUUUUGUGGAGGCACAUACACACAUACACCACAACAUAUAUUUAUAAGCCAGCGGCCCUUAAAUCAGAUGGAGGGUGAAUAAUAGGAGGAAAAUGAAUACCCAUUCUGGGCAGUCAAAAAGCUCCCUGUUCAUUUGAAAAUGCUUUAAGAUGUCAGGUUGAAAGGUGCCAGGCUAUUUGAAUAAAUGAAUUGAUCCAGGGGCAUUAUGGCUAUGGUUGUUGUGGGUAUUAUUACUCAAACAGCUGACAUUUUUUUUAAAAGUCAUGCAGUAGAAUCAGGAAAACUGUCUGGAGGUCGGCUUCCUAUUUUACUGACCACCUGUAUCAGCGGAGGCUGUGAAAAUAGACCAAGCAUUUAUUUUAGAAAAAAAUAAUAUAUUCAAAAUGCAUUCCUGCAUUUAGUUCCUUCCAAAUAAAUAAAAGCAUAUGUGUGAGUGGCUGUAGGCUAGUGUGCUCAGGUGUUGACACAUUGAAAUGGAGAUGUUUUCAGCACAAAAGGCCACAGGAAUAGUUGCCAGCCUGGUCACAACUCUAAAUGGGUGUUGAAAUAUUUCCUGUAACUUAAAAAGCGUGUAGGCUGGAGUUAUUGAAUGUGUUCCCUAAAUUUCCAGGAGCCUUUUUUUUUUAUCCACAAGAGCCAUAUUAUGCUCAUGGGUAGAUCUUUUAAAUGCUCUGCCGUGUGUGGGCUUAUGCAUAUUUGAUUUUUCAAAGGUGCCUCUAUUGGGUGCCCACACAUUAACUCCCAGUCUGCUGCAGCACCAAGGAUCAGGGUGCAAGAUA
rnacentral:lncRNA from 1 species